rnacentral:lncRNA from 1 species
GAAAGUAAGAAAUAGAAACCUUAUAAUUAUACUACUGAUUUUCUUUUUCUCCUUUCCUCUUCCUAUCCUCUUCUUCCUCUAAUUCUCUUCUCCUCCAGCAGCGCCGCCCGCCGCCAGAAGAAGCAGCCGCGCCGGCCGUCCAGGCGUCCACUAGAAGAAGGCAAGAAGCAACAGCAGCCGCGAGAAGCAGCAGCACUGCAGCAGCGCCGGCGCCCGGCCGUCUGCCAGAAGAAGAAGCAGCAGUAGCUGCGCCGUGCCGUCAAGCAGCCAGCAACAGCCGCGCCGCGCCGUCCGCCAGCAGCCGCGCAGGAGUCAGGACAGCAGCCAGCAGGUUUGUCCGUUUGUUUUUUUAAUUUUUUUUUUCUGAUUUUGUUUUUAUUACUAGUUAUUGUGAAUUUAUUGUGAUUUUUUUAUAUAUAUAUAGAUGGCCGAACAAAAAAUUGAAAAAAUUGUAAAGUUUAAAAUUUUAAAAAGCCCAUUAAGCAGGCCCAUUAAAAAAUCGAACCAAAUUGAUAAAAACUGAACCGAAUUAAAAAAAAUCGAACCAAAAUAUUUCAAUUCGGUAUUCGGUACGCAAUUUACAAAAACCAAAAAUCGAAAAAAAAACUUAAAUCGAACCGAAAUACCGAAUGUACACCCCUACUUUUUAACAUGCUCGAAUUAUUUCAAAUCUCAUCUCUCAUUUUUUAUCUACCACAAAAGUCACUUCCACCUAAUCCAAAUACUCCCUCCGUUUAAAAAAAUAUUCCUAUUUUUUUUGUUGUUUAAAAAAAAUGAUCCUUUUUUUUACGAUAUUUUAAUUUUAAUUUUCCACGUGACAUGUUUAACACCACAAGAUUAAAUGUCAUUUUGAUACAUUUGACAUAACUUUAAUUUAAAAUCAUAAGAUUAAAAAGACUUUUUUUUUCUUAUAUUCCAUUUUAAGUAAAAUUAGGUUAUUUUUUUUUAAACGGAGGAGAGCAUUUUAUUUCUGAUAGUAUCUUCUCCAAAUUAACACAUACUGCCAAAACUAGGUUUCCCGAUGAUGUAACUACGUAGGCGGUUGUUCACGUGUCGUGUACUCGUCACGUUGUCUUCUUUUUAAAGAAAUACUAAUAUUUUUUAUCUAUUUUUAUUGUAGUACAAUUUUUCUGUUUUAUUUUAUUCUUAAUUAUCUAAAAUAAUAAUAAUUAAAUCUAAAGUAAUUUUUAAAUCAAAAAUAAAAAAUCAAAUUGAAAUAAAUUUUAAGUAAAAAAAAGUAUUGAGAGAUUUGCUUUUGAUUUUUAAUUUAUUUUAAAGUUAUUUUUGACGUCAAAUACUUUUAAAUUUAUUUUAAGUUAUUUUUUAUAUUAGUCAAUUUGAUAAUAUUUUUAAGAGUCCGUUUGGAUCGACUUUAAAAAACGGUUUUAAGUUAAAAAUAAAAAGUCAAAUUGAAAUGACUUUUAAGUCGAAAAAAAAGUAAGGGGAGACCUACUUUUGUUUUUGACUUAUUUGAACUCAUUUUUUACCUUGCCAAACACUUCAUAUGUUAAGUCAUUUUUGACUUAUUUUAAGUUAUUUUUUUAUAUUUAUUAAAUACUUUCAGAAGUCAAAAACUUAAAAAUGGAUUUGACCGACUUUUAAGCCGAUUCCAACUAACUCUACAUCCGUCCAAACACUCUCUUAAUAUAUUUUAUCAGUAUUCAAUGGUUGAUAGUGUCUGGAGCUCUUAAAUUUUCGAACAAUAUUUUACCUGCUCUUAUAUCAUAAACUAAUAUUGGUUCAUAUUCUUAUGAACCCUAACCUAAGAGAUGAAGUCGUCGUUGAAAAGAAAAAAAAAACUCAUUCCGAAGCAAACUUUUAUCUAUUACUCCCUUGAUUGUUUGUCAUGUUGUGCUUAUCGAAAGCUAAUUUGACUAAUUUUUAAAGGUAAAUUAGAUUACAUUAAUUUGAUAUUUCAAACAAAAAAAAUAAAAUAUUCUAAAACUAUAUGAAAAGUACUAUAAAUUACAAUUUUUUUACAUAUUACUAUGAUAAAAAAAUACAUCUUAAAGUAUCAAUCAAAAUUUUUAUAAUUUAACUCUAAAUUAAAAAUAAUGACAAACAAUAUUGGAUGGAAUAAAUGUACAUUCUUGUUCUCAUAAACUCUAAUUCAAAAUGGCGGACGGAAUAUAACAAUAUAAUUAUAGUUAUACCGUGGAGAGGAAAUGACCAAACUAUCCUUACUGUCUUAAGUGAAUUUUGUUUCUAUCAGCAGUCCCUUUAUCUAUUCAUCAAUCAAACACCUAGUUUUUCAUUUUUAAUCAAGAUUAAAAAAAAAAAUCAUAAUUAGGAAAGCUAGGAUCCAAAUAAAUCGAAGUUUCAUAUUCUAAGUUUUGAAAACGAAAAAAAAAAAAUCAUAGUCAGGAGAACUUUCUCAAGUUAAUCAAAGUCUAAGGCAUCCCGACUCCGUAGUAGCAUUCUGGAGUUGCUUAUUGUUCUAUGACAUGAAUCUUUACUCUACUUCAAUUGAACCACCGCCGGUUAUAAUUACACUAAAGAUUUAUUUAAUUAUACUAUAAUAAUUUUACAUAUACUACGAACUUAAAAAAACAGACCAAACAAGAAAUCUAGAUUUCUUCUUAAACUAAGAUCGAUAAAAAUAAAUACAUUCCCUUAGAAAGCUCGUGUACAAGAUUAUAUCCUGAGUGUCAACAACCAGCAAAUGCUAAAAAUAUGAACAUCCUUAAGUGUACAAAACUUCUAAUGCUACCACCGGAGCUCUUUACAAUUUUUUGUACUUUCAACGCCAACCGUCCCAAUGUAAACUGGUCCAGCCAGCUCAACUAUGAUGUGUUGAAGUGCUCUCUGUACAACUUAGUUAAGGUUGAGUCUCCGCGAUCUAACUCUCAUGCACAAAGGAGGUGAAAUAUUCCAACCUAUCAUUCUAAGCUGUUUAAUGUUCAUGAGUAACUGCAUCAGGAAGUGAUGGAGAUGAGCCAGCGCUGACUUUGCUGGGAACUGGUGUAUUCAUUCUUGACUGGCGUUUUGUGGGGACAAGAACGCUAUCGUUCUCCAGUUUCAUCAUAAAGUCUUCAUCCUCAUCUUCAUCGUCGUCUUUGAAAACAGG